rnacentral:lncRNA from 1 species
GGCUUCCGUCCUGGGCUGCUGGACAAGUGGGUGACGUUGAUCAAGGCACUGGGCUCACACGGGCCGCGCCCCGCGUGAUCUGUUGUCUCCAGGCAGACUGCCUCACUUGGGGCGAUUCUUUGAUCCCGUGAGUUAAGAAUGACCAUGGUGGUGGCUGACUCCGGGUCUCAGGGUCAUCCUGGGGGCCAGGUACCUAAACAGGACGGGGGUGUACAUUGCUUCCUCUGUCUCUCCAGCUUCCUGGUCCUUCUUCAGCUGUGCCUCAAGCAUUUCUCGGCCUCCUGAUUGUGGGUCCACCAUUCUGGGUCUUGCUCCAUUCCAGCUGGGGUCUUUCUUGCCUUCUUGGGUUCCAUUUGUGCCACUGCCUCACCGGUGGCUUUGCCUUUUCCACUCCUCCCUGCCUCUCCUACCUCCCCUCUCUCCUCAGGAUCACACACACACACACACACACACACACACACACACACACACACACAAGGUUGGUAGGAGACGAGGGCCUGGGCCGGGUUGGGUAGUGGAGGCAGGGAAGGGCUCAAGGAGGCUGGCCUCUCUCCCAAUCCUAUUUACAAUCUCCAUUCUUACAGCAGCUGCGAAGCCUGGGACAUUGCUCUGAGACUCAGUUUCUCCCUCUGAAAAGUGAGAAUAAUAAUAGUUCCUUCCCUUUAGGAUGGAAGCCUGGCCUGUAAGAGUUUUUGAUAGUGAAUCAGGAUAAAUCACAGAAACUCGUGUCUCAUAACCCCAGGGAAGCAGAGGCUGCAGGCAAGCAGAGCUUUAACAAAAUAUAU